AGCUAAUUAGCUCUGAGACAGAGUUCCUGGAAAUACAAGACAAUGAGAGCUAUCUAAAUUCACAUCCUCUCUAUGGGCAAUCAUGCAACAUGAACCAAACUCAGAAAAGUUUUCUUUGACACAGAGCUGAGAAUAUAUAAAGCCAAUCCUACUCACCUUGGUCUUGGGACAUAUAAUAACACUGCUCUUUCCCAGUCUUUCUAAUCAGGUGAAACCAGGAUGAAAUGUCCAUCAAUGACAUCCAGCAAGGGAAAUAAUGUCAUAAGUUUGGGUAGAGAGGGAAAAAAGAACAAUGUGAUCAUGAGGAUUGCUCUACCAGCUGAGAUGCAUGACUGUGGUGCUCUGGAGGGUAAUAUCCUUAGUCCCUAAAGAUUCUAUCAAGCCAUUUAGGAAAUGCUGGCAGGAAGAGGCACACACAAACCUCGGCAGGGAGCAGACAAUUCACAAAUUUCUACAAUUCAAUCUUCAGUGCUAGUGGGCAUCAGAGCGUAAAGUGUCCCGGGUAUUCCCCUGUACAUCUCCUGAGAAUGAAUUGAGAGACCUGAAACAUUUCUGCAUUUA
rnacentral:lncRNA from 1 species